GCAGGGCAAGAUCACUUAAGUUUUUUUAUUAUUUUUAAAAUACCCUUUACAUGAUUCAUAUCAUUGUCAAUGAAAACAAAAUUGUGUGCUCUUACCAGCAAGAAUGUUGAUGAUUUGUUAGAACUCACUAUGCGUGUUGCCGAGUUAGGUAAAGUUAUUUACUGACUAUUGCAUGUAAAUUAUUUAUUUACCUUUUUUUUUUGCUUGGGGGAAGAGAGGGUUACUUUCAACCCAUUUGGCCCGCUUCGCAACUAUGCGGGUCAAAUUUUAUCUAAGGUAUGUAGCACAUCUUUAAUAAUAUACAACUUUAAUUACUUGAGAUACAAGUCAAUAAAGGAGUUUGCUCAAGAUUUAGGAGCAAUGGAGUUGUUGCUCGUGUAAAGGUAUUUAAGUUUAACUUCAUUUAUAUGUAUAUAUUAUUUUGAGAUUCUACAUUUGUCUUCAGUUUUCUUGAUUAUUAGCUGCAAGAAUUAAAGGCUAAUCUCGAUAGAAAUGCAAAGGUUAUCGUAAUUGAAGCAGGUCUCAUCAAUCAAAAGGACCCGUAGCUACUUUAUUUUUGUGCAAAAUGACACACUUAAAAAGGGAGAUGUGGUUGUAUGUAGUGAAGUCUUUGGAAAGGUUAGUAAAAGAAACAAUAGUUAAUUCAACAAAAUACUAUUUUAAAAUUCUCGACUUUAAAACAUUUGCACUUUGAUUAGAUUCAUCUUUAUUUGAUGGCUCAAAAGCUAAGCUUUACAUUUUUAGGUCUGAGCUUUAUUUCAUGAUGCUGGAAAGCGGGUUUGAUGAUGUUGGGCUGGCAAUACCAGUACAAGUGAAUUUAGCUACAAUUAUUUGGUUCUUGUCUAUUACAACCCAUAAUAAAAAUUACACAUCCAACCCGACCCGUUUGACCCGCUUUAACCCAAAUCCAUUUGACCUGGCUCAACCCACCCAAUUUGACCCACUAGAAAUUGAUCUGUUCCCAAUUCGAUCCUGUUUGUGUUGUCAAAAUGAACUGUUGUAACCUAAAUCCAUUUGACCCUUGUCAACUUGAGCCCAUUUGACCUGUUUCAACCCAAACCUGUUUGACCUAUUCAAGAAUUAUAUAUAUCUAUGGUUCCCAUUAAGUCUAACUACCUUUCAAAUGAAUCUCUACCAUUGGAUCUUGCUGAAAUCAAAUCCUGACCUUCUAAACUCACAAUAAUAACUGCUAUGGUAGCAGUUAACGGCAGUUUCUUACGGUUCCCCCUCUGACGGUUACCUCCACUUUUUUCUGCCCAUCAUCUCCACAACUCAACCUCCUACAAAACUAGGGUAGUGCUCACAAUUUCAGUUCGCCCGUUGGUUGUCUCAGGUCUCCUCCUCACCCAUAAAACUGUCACCCCAUCUCCACAAACCAACAUGCAAAAGUGGAGAGAUUAGAGGUCAUCUUCUCCUUCACACGCCGUAUGCACCUCACCCGUCGCCGUCGGUACAAUCAACGUCGUUCUAAAAGUUCAAGACGUGAUUUCAAAAGCAGAUGAUGGUCCCUCAGUCUUCAUCUACCUCUCCCUUUUGUCUGAAUCCCUCUCCUCUGAAUCAAUCGAAGGAAGUGUUGAAGAUUUCCAUAUCUGUCUUUCUGCCAAAGUCAAGUAUGUUGAAAGUGUAAAGGGUGAUGAAGAACAAUAAGGGGGCACUACAAGAACAGGCGCUUUUUGAAAUGCUACAGGCUCUAAGAGAAGCCGAGAUGCUGAACUUCAUAAUUUGUCUGAAAUACAUAAUUCCUCAAGUUUAGGCAGUCGGUAUUCUCUUAAUUAUUAGUGUUUACAUUUAGCAAUUUGUUAAUUUGUAUACAGUAGGUAGUCUUUGUUCAAUAUAGGCACUCAGAAGUUUGAUGAAUAAAGUUUCGGGUAAUUUAAAAAAUUCCGAAUGAUUAGGUUACAGGUCAGUUAUGCCUGACCUGUAUUUUCGUGGUUCUUUUUUAUCAUGUUACUUAACAAUGGUAUUAAAUAAUCUUCAUAACGUCUUAGCAGUUCGGUGAUUCCUUAAUUCAGGUUUAAUUUUUGCCGAAAUUUCUAUUUCUGUCAACGCAGAUUUACUAUUUGUUAUACUUUAGGUGUAACUGCAUUCAGGUUUUCCUUUUUAGUGAGUGACCAGCGAUUAAAACAUCUGAAGCUUGCUAUUCGACACAAGUUGUGUGUUAAUCAAGGGUUUCUACAAGUUCCGGUGUCGAACAUAGCUUCUGUACUUUGAUCAUAUUGUUUUGUUGUUAACAAUGGAAACCUCACUUAUAUGAAGUUAGACAGGAGUUGAAGCGUGGACCAUCUAUCAAAUAAGCUAUUUAUCAGCAACAUCAUGAAUGGAGCAAAGGCUGGCAUGUGCCAUUGAAUAAAGAUUUGAAUCUUCUGGUGGAUUUAUCAAGUCGCUCGCCUGUGACGUCGAUUGGACGAAUCACCCUUUGGUAAGCCAUGUGCAAUUCACAGGUCUUAUCUCAUCUCAUCUUACCUUUGUAUAUGUAAUGAUUUACUUUGAUCAUGGAUAUUUGAAUUUGAAUUUAGGUUAAUAUUUAUUUUCAGUUUUUUCAUCCAUGUGAUUCUCAAUGUUUCAGAAUGACCCAUUAGAGGCUAAAAAAAAAUGUUUUGCAGGCUUCUGGUGCAAUGAGAUCUCGUAGAGCUAGGGUUACUGAUAACAUAAGUAUCAUGUGUUUGUAGAUGACGUGAUACGUCCACAAACAACUAAGGCCAUGCCAAAUCAGCCCGAGUGCCAAUAAUUUUUGCUAUUACUAGGAUAGAUAAGGAAGGGGCUUUAGAUCGAGUAAUGCAAGUUAAGCAGGAGCUUUCUUAUAAUGGUUGUCAACUAGAAGAUUGGGGGUGGUGAUGUACCUAUGGUUCAGGUGCAGGGCAAGAUCACUUAAGUUUUUUUAUUAUUUUUAAAAUACCCUUUACAUGAUUCAUAUCAUUGUCAAUGAAAACAAAAUUGUGUGCUCUUACCAGCAAGAAUGUUGAUGAUUUGUUAGAACUCACUAUGCGUGUUGCCGAGUUAGGUAAAGUUAUUUACUGACUAUUGCAUGUAAAUUAUUUAUUUACCUUUUUUUUUUGCUUGGGGGAGAAGAGAGGGUUACUUUCAACCCAUUUGGCCCGCUUCGCAACUAUGCGGGUCAAAUUUUAUCUAAGGUAUGUAGCACAUCUUUAAUAAUAUACAACUUUAAUUACUUGAGAUACAAGUCAAUAAAGGAGUUUGCUCAAGAUUUAGGAGCAAUGGAGUUGUUGCUCGUGUAAAGGUAUUUAAGUUUAACUUCAUUUAUAUGUAUAUAUUAUUUUGAGAUUCUACAUUUGUCUUCAGUUUUCUUGAUUAUUAGCUGCAAGAAUUAAAGGCUAAUCUCGAUAGAAAUGCAAAGGUUAUCGUAAUUGAAGCAGGUCUCAUCAAUCAAAAGGACCCGUAGCUACUUUAUUUUUGUGCAAAAUGACACACUUAAAAAGGGAGAUGUGGUUGUAUGUAGUGAAGUCUUUGGAAAGGUUAGUAAAAGAAACAAUAGUUAAUUCAACAAAAUACUAUUUUAAAAUUCUCGACUUUAAAACAUUUGCACUUUGAUUAGAUUCAUCUUUAUUUGAUGGCUCAAAAGCUAAGCUUUACAUUUUUAGGUCUGAGCUUUAUUUCAUGAUGCUGGAAAGCGGGUUUGAUGAUGUUGGGCUGGCAAUACCAGUACAAGUGAAUUUAGCUACAAUUAUUUGGUUCUUGUCUAUUACAACCCAUAAUAAAAAUUACACAUCCAACCCGACCCGUUUGACCCGCUUUAACCCAAAUCCAUUUGACCUGGCUCAACCCACCCAAUUUGACCCACUAGAAAUUGAUCUGUUCCCAAUUCGAUCCUGUUUGUGUUGUCAAAAUGAACUGUUGUAACCUAAAUCCAUUUGACCCUUGUCAACUUGAGCCCAUUUGACCUGUUUCAACCCAAACCUGUUUGACCUAUUCAAGAAUUAUAUAUAUCUAUGGUUCCCAUUAAGUCUAACUACCUUUCAAAUGAAUCUCUACCAUUGGAUCUUGCUGAAAUCAAAUCCUGACCUUCUAAACUCACAAUAAUAACUGCUAUGGUAGCAGUUAACGGCAGUUUCUUACGGUUCCCCCUCUGACGGUUACCUCCACUUUUUUCUGCCCAUCAUCUCCACAACUCAACCUCCUACAAAACUAGGGUAGUGCUCACAAUUUCAGUUCGCCCGUUGGUUGUCUCAGGUCUCCUCCUCACCCAUAAAACUGUCACCCCAUCUCCACAAACCAACAUGCAAAAGUGGAGAGAUUAGAGGUCAUCUUCUCCUUCACACGCCGUAUGCACCUCACCCGUCGCCGUCGGUACAAUCAACGUCGUUCUAAAAGUUCAAGACGUGAUUUCAAAAGCAGAUGAUGGUCCCUCAGUCUUCAUCUACCUCUCCCUUUUGUCUGAAUCCCUCUCCUCUGAAUCAAUCGAAGGAAGUGUUGAAGAUUUCCAUAUCUGUCUUUCUGCCAAAGUCAAGUAUGUUGAAAGUGUAAAGGGUGAUGAAGAACAAUAAGGGGGCACUACAAGAACAGGCGCUUUUUGAAAUGCUACAGGCUCUAAGAGAAGCCGAGAUGCUGAACUUCAUAAUUUGUCUGAAAUACAUAAUUCCUCAAGUUUAGGCAGUCGGUAUUCUCUUAAUUAUUAGUGUUUACAUUUAGCAAUUUGUUAAUUUGUAUACAGUAGGUAGUCUUUGUUCAAUAUAGGCACUCAGAAGUUUGAUGAAUAAAGUUUCGGGUAAUUUAAAAAAUUCCGAAUGAUUAGGUUACAGGUCAGUUAUGCCUGACCUGUAUUUUCGUGGUUCUUUUUUAUCAUGUUACUUAACAAUGGUAUUAAAUAAUCUUCAUAACGUCUUAGCAGUUCGGUGAUUCCUUAAUUCAGGUUUAAUUUUUGCCGAAAUUUCUAUUUCUGUCAACGCAGAUUUACUAUUUGUUAUACUUUAGGUGUAACUGCAUUCAGGUUUUCCUUUUUAGUGAGUGACCAGCGAUUAAAACAUCUGAAGCUUGCUAUUCGACACAAGUUGUGUGUUAAUCAAGGGUUUCUACAAGUUCCGGUGUCGAACAUAGCUUCUGUACUUUGAUCAUAUUGUUUUGUUGUUAACAAUGGAAACCUCACUUAUAUGAAGUUAGACAGGAGUUGAAGCGUGGACCAUCUAUCAAAUAAGCUAUUUAUCAGCAACAUCAUGAAUGGAGCAAAGGCUGGCAUGUGCCAUUGAAUAAAGAUUUGAAUCUUCUGGUGGAUUUAUCAAGUCGCUCGCCUGUGACGUCGAUUGGACGAAUCACCCUUUGGUAAGCCAUGUGCAAUUCACAGGUCUUAUCUCAUCUCAUCUUACCUUUGUAUAUGUAAUGAUUUACUUUGAUCAUGGAUAUUUGAAUUUGAAUUUAGGUUAAUAUUUAUUUUCAGUUUUUUCAUCCAUGUGAUUCUCAAUGUUUCAGAAUGACCCAUUAGAGGCUAAAAAAAAAUGUUUUGCAGGCUUCUGGUGCAAUGAGAUCUCGUAGAGCUAGGGUUACUGAUAACAUAAGUAUCAUGUGUUUGUAGAUGACGUGAUACGUCCACAAACAACUAAGGCCAUGCCAAAUCAGCCCGAGUGCCAAUAAUUUUUGCUAUUACUAGGAUAGAUAAGGAAGGGGCUUUAGAUCGAGUAAUGCAAGUUAAGCAGGAGCUUUCUUAUAAUGGUUGUCAACUAGAAGAUUGGGGGUGGUGAUGUACCUAUGGUUCAGGUGCAGGGCAAGAUCACUUAAGUUUUUUUAUUAUUUUUAAAAUACCCUUUACAUGAUUCAUAUCAUUGUCAAUGAAAACAAAAUUGUGUGCUCUUACCAGCAAGAAUGUUGAUGAUUUGUUAGAACUCACUAUGCGUGUUGCCGAGUUAGGUAAAGUUAUUUACUGACUAUUGCAUGUAAAUUAUUUAUUUACCUUUUUUUUUUGCUUGGGGGAGAAGAGAGGGUUACUUUCAACCCAUUUGGCCCGCUUCGCAACUAUGCGGGUCAAAUUUUAUCUAAGGUAUGUAGCACAUCUUUAAUAAUAUACAACUUUAAUUACUUGAGAUACAAGUCAAUAAAGGAGUUUGCUCAAGAUUUAGGAGCAAUGGAGUUGUUGCUCGUGUAAAGGUAUUUAAGUUUAACUUCAUUUAUAUGUAUAUAUUAUUUUGAGAUUCUACAUUUGUCUUCAGUUUUCUUGAUUAUUAGCUGCAAGAAUUAAAGGCUAAUCUCGAUAGAAAUGCAAAGGUUAUCGUAAUUGAAGCAGGUCUCAUCAAUCAAAAGGACCCGUAGCUACUUUAUUUUUGUGCAAAAUGACACACUUAAAAAGGGAGAUGUGGUUGUAUGUAGUGAAGUCUUUGGAAAGGUUAGUAAAAGAAACAAUAGUUAAUUCAACAAAAUACUAUUUUAAAAUUCUCGACUUUAAAACAUUUGCACUUUGAUUAGAUUCAUCUUUAUUUGAUGGCUCAAAAGCUAAGCUUUACAUUUUUAGGUCUGAGCUUUAUUUCAUGAUGCUGGAAAGCGGGUUUGAUGAUGUUGGGCUGGCAAUACCAGUACAAGUGAAUUUAGCUACAAUUAUUUGGUUCUUGUCUAUUACAACCCAUAAUAAAAAUUACACAUCCAACCCGACCCGUUUGACCCGCUUUAACCCAAAUCCAUUUGACCUGGCUCAACCCACCCAAUUUGACCCACUAGAAAUUGAUCUGUUCCCAAUUCGAUCCUGUUUGUGUUGUCAAAAUGAACUGUUGUAACCUAAAUCCAUUUGACCCUUGUCAACUUGAGCCCAUUUGACCUGUUUCAACCCAAACCUGUUUGACCUAUUCAAGAAUUAUAUAUAUCUAUGGUUCCCAUUAAGUCUAACUACCUUUCAAAUGAAUCUCUACCAUUGGAUCUUGCUGAAAUCAAAUCCUGACCUUCUAAACUCACAAUAAUAACUGCUAUGGUAGCAGUUAACGGCAGUUUCUUACGGUUCCCCCUCUGACGGUUACCUCCACUUUUUUCUGCCCAUCAUCUCCACAACUCAACCUCCUACAAAACUAGGGUAGUGCUCACAAUUUCAGUUCGCCCGUUGGUUGUCUCAGGUCUCCUCCUCACCCAUAAAACUGUCACCCCAUCUCCACAAACCAACAUGCAAAAGUGGAGAGAUUAGAGGUCAUCUUCUCCUUCACACGCCGUAUGCACCUCACCCGUCGCCGUCGGUACAAUCAACGUCGUUCUAAAAGUUCAAGACGUGAUUUCAAAAGCAGAUGAUGGUCCCUCAGUCUUCAUCUACCUCUCCCUUUUGUCUGAAUCCCUCUCCUCUGAAUCAAUCGAAGGAAGUGUUGAAGAUUUCCAUAUCUGUCUUUCUGCCAAAGUCAAGUAUGUUGAAAGUGUAAAGGGUGAUGAAGAACAAUAAGGGGGCACUACAAGAACAGGCGCUUUUUGAAAUGCUACAGGCUCUAAGAGAAGCCGAGAUGCUGAACUUCAUAAUUUGUCUGAAAUACAUAAUUCCUCAAGUUUAGGCAGUCGGUAUUCUCUUAAUUAUUAGUGUUUACAUUUAGCAAUUUGUUAAUUUGUAUACAGUAGGUAGUCUUUGUUCAAUAUAGGCACUCAGAAGUUUGAUGAAUAAAGUUUCGGGUAAUUUAAAAAAUUCCGAAUGAUUAGGUUACAGGUCAGUUAUGCCUGACCUGUAUUUUCGUGGUUCUUUUUUAUCAUGUUACUUAACAAUGGUAUUAAAUAAUCUUCAUAACGUCUUAGCAGUUCGGUGAUUCCUUAAUUCAGGUUUAAUUUUUGCCGAAAUUUCUAUUUCUGUCAACGCAGAUUUACUAUUUGUUAUACUUUAGGUGUAACUGCAUUCAGGUUUUCCUUUUUAGUGAGUGACCAGCGAUUAAAACAUCUGAAGCUUGCUAUUCGACACAAGUUGUGUGUUAAUCAAGGGUUUCUACAAGUUCCGGUGUCGAACAUAGCUUCUGUACUUUGAUCAUAUUGUUUUGUUGUUAACAAUGGAAACCUCACUUAUAUGAAGUUAGACAGGAGUUGAAGCGUGGACCAUCUAUCAAAUAAGCUAUUUAUCAGCAACAUCAUGAAUGGAGCAAAGGCUGGCAUGUGCCAUUGAAUAAAGAUUUGAAUCUUCUGGUGGAUUUAUCAAGUCGCUCGCCUGUGACGUCGAUUGGACGAAUCACCCUUUGGUAAGCCAUGUGCAAUUCACAGGUCUUAUCUCAUCUCAUCUUACCUUUGUAUAUGUAAUGAUUUACUUUGAUCAUGGAUAUUUGAAUUUGAAUUUAGGUUAAUAUUUAUUUUCAGUUUUUUCAUCCAUGUGAUUCUCAAUGUUUCAGAAUGACCCAUUAGAGGCUAAAAAAAAAUGUUUUGCAGGCUUCUGGUGCAAUGAGAUCUCGUAGAGCUAGGGUUACUGAUAACAUAAGUAUCAUGUGUUUGUAGAUGACGUGAUACGUCCACAAACAACUAAGGCCAUGCCAAAUCAGCCCGAGUGCCAAUAAUUUUUGCUAUUACUAGGAUAGAUAAGGAAGGGGCUUUAGAUCGAGUAAUGCAAGUUAAGCAGGAGCUUUCUUAUAAUGGUUGUCAACUAGAAGAUUGGGGGUGGUGAUGUACCUAUGGUUCAGGUGCAGGGCAAGAUCACUUAAGUUUUUUUAUUAUUUUUAAAAUACCCUUUACAUGAUUCAUAUCAUUGUCAAUGAAAACAAAAUUGUGUGCUCUUACCAGCAAGAAUGUUGAUGAUUUGUUAGAACUCACUAUGCGUGUUGCCGAGUUAGGUAAAGUUAUUUACUGACUAUUGCAUGUAAAUUAUUUAUUUACCUUUUUUUUUUGCUUGGGGGAGAAGAGAGGGUUACUUUCAACCCAUUUGGCCCGCUUCGCAACUAUGCGGGUCAAAUUUUAUCUAAGGUAUGUAGCACAUCUUUAAUAAUAUACAACUUUAAUUACUUGAGAUACAAGUCAAUAAAGGAGUUUGCUCAAGAUUUAGGAGCAAUGGAGUUGUUGCUCGUGUAAAGGUAUUUAAGUUUAACUUCAUUUAUAUGUAUAUAUUAUUUUGAGAUUCUACAUUUGUCUUCAGUUUUCUUGAUUAUUAGCUGCAAGAAUUAAAGGCUAAUCUCGAUAGAAAUGCAAAGGUUAUCGUAAUUGAAGCAGGUCUCAUCAAUCAAAAGGACCCGUAGCUACUUUAUUUUUGUGCAAAAUGACACACUUAAAAAGGGAGAUGUGGUUGUAUGUAGUGAAGUCUUUGGAAAGGUUAGUAAAAGAAACAAUAGUUAAUUCAACAAAAUACUAUUUUAAAAUUCUCGACUUUAAAACAUUUGCACUUUGAUUAGAUUCAUCUUUAUUUGAUGGCUCAAAAGCUAAGCUUUACAUUUUUAGGUCUGAGCUUUAUUUCAUGAUGCUGGAAAGCGGGUUUGAUGAUGUUGGGCUGGCAAUACCAGUACAAGUGAAUUUAGCUACAAUUAUUUGGUUCUUGUCUAUUACAACCCAUAAUAAAAAUUACACAUCCAACCCGACCCGUUUGACCCGCUUUAACCCAAAUCCAUUUGACCUGGCUCAACCCACCCAAUUUGACCCACUAGAAAUUGAUCUGUUCCCAAUUCGAUCCUGUUUGUGUUGUCAAAAUGAACUGUUGUAACCUAAAUCCAUUUGACCCUUGUCAACUUGAGCCCAUUUGACCUGUUUCAACCCAAACCUGUUUGACCUAUUCAAGAAUUAUAUAUAUCUAUGGUUCCCAUUAAGUCUAACUACCUUUCAAAUGAAUCUCUACCAUUGGAUCUUGCUGAAAUCAAAUCCUGACCUUCUAAACUCACAAUAAUAACUGCUAUGGUAGCAGUUAACGGCAGUUUCUUACGGUUCCCCCUCUGACGGUUACCUCCACUUUUUUCUGCCCAUCAUCUCCACAACUCAACCUCCUACAAAACUAGGGUAGUGCUCACAAUUUCAGUUCGCCCGUUGGUUGUCUCAGGUCUCCUCCUCACCCAUAAAACUGUCACCCCAUCUCCACAAACCAACAUGCAAAAGUGGAGAGAUUAGAGGUCAUCUUCUCCUUCACACGCCGUAUGCACCUCACCCGUCGCCGUCGGUACAAUCAACGUCGUUCUAAAAGUUCAAGACGUGAUUUCAAAAGCAGAUGAUGGUCCCUCAGUCUUCAUCUACCUCUCCCUUUUGUCUGAAUCCCUCUCCUCUGAAUCAAUCGAAGGAAGUGUUGAAGAUUUCCAUAUCUGUCUUUCUGCCAAAGUCAAGUAUGUUGAAAGUGUAAAGGGUGAUGAAGAACAAUAAGGGGGCACUACAAGAACAGGCGCUUUUUGAAAUGCUACAGGCUCUAAGAGAAGCCGAGAUGCUGAACUUCAUAAUUUGUCUGAAAUACAUAAUUCCUCAAGUUUAGGCAGUCGGUAUUCUCUUAAUUAUUAGUGUUUACAUUUAGCAAUUUGUUAAUUUGUAUACAGUAGGUAGUCUUUGUUCAAUAUAGGCACUCAGAAGUUUGAUGAAUAAAGUUUCGGGUAAUUUAAAAAAUUCCGAAUGAUUAGGUUACAGGUCAGUUAUGCCUGACCUGUAUUUUCGUGGUUCUUUUUUAUCAUGUUACUUAACAAUGGUAUUAAAUAAUCUUCAUAACGUCUUAGCAGUUCGGUGAUUCCUUAAUUCAGGUUUAAUUUUUGCCGAAAUUUCUAUUUCUGUCAACGCAGAUUUACUAUUUGUUAUACUUUAGGUGUAACUGCAUUCAGGUUUUCCUUUUUAGUGAGUGACCAGCGAUUAAAACAUCUGAAGCUUGCUAUUCGACACAAGUUGUGUGUUAAUCAAGGGUUUCUACAAGUUCCGGUGUCGAACAUAGCUUCUGUACUUUGAUCAUAUUGUUUUGUUGUUAACAAUGGAAACCUCACUUAUAUGAAGUUAGACAGGAGUUGAAGCGUGGACCAUCUAUCAAAUAAGCUAUUUAUCAGCAACAUCAUGAAUGGAGCAAAGGCUGGCAUGUGCCAUUGAAUAAAGAUUUGAAUCUUCUGGUGGAUUUAUCAAGUCGCUCGCCUGUGACGUCGAUUGGACGAAUCACCCUUUGGUAAGCCAUGUGCAAUUCACAGGUCUUAUCUCAUCUCAUCUUACCUUUGUAUAUGUAAUGAUUUACUUUGAUCAUGGAUAUUUGAAUUUGAAUUUAGGUUAAUAUUUAUUUUCAGUUUUUUCAUCCAUGUGAUUCUCAAUGUUUCAGAAUGACCCAUUA